rnacentral:rRNA from 1 species
GACGAACGCUGGCGGCGUGCUUAACACAUGCAAGUCGAACGGAAAGGCCCCUUUGGGGGUACUCGAGUGGCGAACGGGUGAGUAACACGUGAGUAACCUGCCCUUGACUUCGGGAUAACUUCAGGAAACUGGGGCUAAUACCGGAUAGGAAUCCUUGCUGCAUGGUGGGGGUUGGAAAGCUUCGGCGGUUUUGGAUGGACUCGCGGCUUAUCAGCUUGUUGGUGGGGUAGUGGCUUACCAAGGCUUUGACGGGUAGCCGGCCUGAGAGGGCGACCGGCCCCAUUGGGACUGAGAUACGGCCCAGACUCCUACGGGAGGCAGCAGUGGGGAAUAUUGCACAAUGGGCGGAAGCCUGAUGCAGCAACGCCGCGUGCGGGAUGACGGCCUUCGGGUUGUAAACCGCUUUCAGCAGGGGCGAAGCUUGUGGUGACGGUACCUGCAGAAGAAGCACCGGCUAACUACGUG